rnacentral:sRNA from 1 species
UCCAAUUAUUGGUAAAGAAUGUAACACGGUUGAAGAGGAAGGCCUUCUCCAAAUUGAGACAAACCAUCUUUGGUCGAGGGUGCACGAGUAGCUGCGCUCCCCUGCUAGAACCUCCAAACAAGCUCUCAAGAAUGUACCAAGGUGACUUCUUCAAGAGAGGGGUCAUC